ensembl:lncRNA
GAACACUUUGCCAUAGCAAGCAAAUGUUUCUAUAUUUUGAGGCAGAAGAAAUCCAUGAGUGAUUGGCGUCAGCUUUCAGUCACAAUUUCAAUCAGUGUUAAUAGUGUUAAAUGUGCAACUGUGGACUGCACACCAAGUGAUGUUACUGAAUCUGAGAUUUCAGUAGUCUAUUUAAUCAAUGUUGUUGGUUAGCAUUAAAACAGAGAAAAUAGAGCAGGGAAAACUGAAAACCAACAACAAUCUUCUGAGAUAGCCUUUUGUCAGUGAUCACUUUGGCAAAUACCAGCGGUGAGCGGAGGGUUAUUUUAUCCUAAUGAAAAUUACCCGUCAGUUGUGUAUAAAACUGCUACCUGUAGUUCUUGUCCUAUUUUAAACAAAACUCCUAUACUUGAUUUACAUCACGUAAAAUAACAGGAAUAAGAUUGUGUCAUGCAUCUCUAUCUUGGUCUUCUCCAUUACUCUGUAAUGAAACUAAUUGGUUACUAAAGCAAAAAACAAGAAGGGUAGAUAACUUUUUGCAAACAAACAUGCAGGAUUCUGGCAGUCAAAUUAUCCAAUGCUCUCUCAUUAGUAUCUUUAAACUGGAUGUUUGCAUUCUGCUCAAGAGCAAGAUGGUUCCAUAGUGGCAAUUUUAGCACUAACAGAACUGACCUGUGGGUAAUUCUCAGUAGAGAGCCCAAGUGGCACAGCUGUUCCUCUGGGGCUGUGUCUGAUGCAGUGCUCCCAGGCCUGACCUUUCAUCCUCCCUCCAAGAACAUCAACUUUCCUCACAAAAGGAGUCGCACUGUGGCCCCUGGAGGAGACAGUGUGGCGUUGGAGCUGAGGAGCUCAGUACUCGUUCCUGAGCUAUGUGGCAUUCUGCUCCUUCUUGGCCACUGUCAGUUGGUUGUGCUCCUUAUCCUCAGAACAGUUUUACAAAAUUUCUAUUGGAGUAACAGAUGGAGCAGUGAAGAAUGCAAUGUGUAAGACAUGACACGUAAUGAAGGGCAAGGACCAUAUGAUGAUGAUGCUUUUGCCAAAAAUGCAAAUGAAUCCACACCUGUGAUUGGCACUUCAAUUCCAGAAAAGACUCAUCAGCUUCCUUUUCUGUAAUAAAAAUACAUAGUGGAUAAGAGAAGAGCAUCUCAAGCCAACAACAGGAAAUAUCCCAGCCUGUCCGUGGGAUCGUUCAUGGGACUACUGUAAGAUAUUUUUAAGUGAG